CUCGUCUUCUGCUACACCAUCAUCGAGAGGAACAAUUGCCAGAUGCUGCCAGUCAUUAGGAGUACCACUGGAGGAGACUCAGUGCAGACCUGCACAAACCCACUGGACACCUUCUUCCCCUUUGAUCCCUGUGUGCUGAAGAGGUGAGGUCUGUGCAGACCCUGGGUGAGGGGCGAGUUGGCUAUGGCCUGUUUAACUCCACCUGUGCAGACUGCAGCUCAGCCUGGUCCAUGCUUCGUGACUCAGCCUUGUCCUCAGGGAAGCUGGGGCUGGUGCAACUUUCAGAAGUGGUCCCAGGAGAUGGAUGGUGAUGAGCUCAGGACCAGCCAGCAACCCCAUCAGGUGGUAAUGCCUACCAUGGUCACCCGUGACUUCCUCUUGCCACUGCUCGGAGCUCCUGCAGAGCCACAGGCAACAACACAUUUCUGCUCCGUACGAGAAGCUCCUAUUGUAAGUCGGUGACAUGGCUGGGGUUUUCUCUCAGCAAAUACUGAGCAAACACUGACUGUGCCAGGUGAUGUGCUGGGUCCCAAACCCUUCCCAGACCCAGCCCUGGCCCUCACGGAGAUCCAGCUAGGAAGUCCGGGAAAAGGUCAUCGGGGAAAUAAACAAAGUCAAGCACAGUGGAUGAACGCGCUGCUGCCGCUCCCCACACCUCUUGUGGUGGACAUCACUUAACGCUUCCUCAUGGUGCAUGUCACUUAUGCUUCCUGGUGCCCUCCCAGAUGACCCCCCCUGGGGCCACUACACACAGCUGCACCCGACAAGAGCAGACAAGGAUGGUCUACUCACUGAGCCUGCAAGGCUGGUGUGCAGGACAGGCCAGCUACACUCCCCAGGUGUGUGCAAGACCGGGGACGAGUCAGUCAUUGGGAGGUGAGGUGCUCGGGCAGUGUGGGGUGGAGGAGGAGGGAGGGAAACUGAGUGUGGGCUCUUCGUAUUGGAGAGGAGGGGACGGCCAUGGCACAGAGACUCAGAUGGGAAAGUGUGAGAAAGAGCAGAGAUUUCAAAGGAGCUACGGUGGAGACCCACAGAAGAGGAAUGCUGAGGCUUUUCUGUCUGAAAUGCUGAAUAGACUCUAGUACACGCAAUACAGCCCACCACAGCGAGCUGCAGGAUUCUUCCGGGCUUUUAACAGUGGUCUUGUAAAAAAAAUUAGCUGGGCAUGGUUGUCCCAGCUACUCAGGAGGCAGAGAGGGGAGGAUGGCUUGUGCCCAGGAGGUUGAGGCUGCAGUGAACCAUGAUCGCACCACUGCACUCCAGCCUGGGUGACAGAAUGAGACCCCUGACUCAAAAAAAAAAAAAAAAAAAAGACUGGAACAUUCAAAACCUGUUGAUGGGCUCAAGAAAUUCUCAAGAAAUUCUCUUGCCUCAGCCUCCUGAGUAGCUGGAACUACAGGUGUGCACCACCACAUGUGGCUAAUUUGUGUAUUUUUUGUAGAGACAGGGUCUUACCAUGUUGCCCAGUCUGGCCUUGAACUCCUGGACUCAAGGGAUCCAAUGACAGGUGAGAGCCACCAUGCCCAGCCACAUUUUUGCUAAAUUCUUUACACUGGUGAAUCUCAAAGAAUUCUCUGAUCAUCACACCAUAUCCUGCUAAGUGUGCAAUUAACCUGUGGAAUUCAGACAGACACUUUUAGAUUAGCAUUAGCUAUGUGGGGCCACCAAAUGCCAACUGUUAAAUUAUCACUCAAAGAUAAAUGACACUUGAGUGUGCUGUUUGAGUUUAAUACCUCUAAAAAAUGCAUGUAGUACCAUGAGACUAGUGUGCCAACGUGUCUGGCUGCCAACGUGUCUAUAGCUGAGCCAAUAAGAAUUAGUCUCUAGAGCCUCUGUUUCCAAGGAAGUCAAUCUCUAGAUUCCCACAUUGGCUGCACGAUGGAAUAAGCCAGGGGCUACGAAAAAUACUGAUGCCUGUUGAAGCUUGGAGGAGCUGGGGUUGGGGUGUAGGGCAGUGAUGAUCACAUAUGAAUAGAACUGAGAGUCUUUAGUGUUACUGGUGGCAAUGUUGAAAUGCAUGAGGGUUGUUUAUUGUAUAAUGAAGUAUUUUUCACAUGAAGUCAUAUGAAGUAU
rnacentral:lncRNA from 1 species